CACGCCGUAAACGAUGAUCACUAGUGAUGUGGGGCUUCGACCCCCUGCGUCACGCAGCUAACGCGUUAAGUGAUCCGCCUGGGGAGUACGAACGCAAGUUUAAAACUCAAAGGAAUUGACGGGGACCCGCACAAGCGGUGGAGGAUGUGGUUUAAUUCGAAGCUACGCGAAGAACCUUACCGAGGCUUGACAUCCCAGGAAGUCAGUCGAAAGACAGAUGUGCCUUCGGGAACCUGGUGACAGGUGC
rnacentral:rRNA from 1 species